UGUCUCGACAACAGACACCGUAUUCAUCAUCGCCGGCUCUCAUCGGACCAAUCGUCGGCGGCAUUGUCGCUGCGGUUGUCAUUGUCAUCAUUGCCUGUUUGCUUGCUAUUUUCAUCAGGCGACAAAGACGACACUUAAAAAAUGAAACAGCUCAAUAUCUGAGAGAAAGUGAGGAGGUGAUUGAAGAACCGCCACAUUUAACUCCCCCUACUGAUAACCAUGGUUACGAAGAUGUCCACAUCAGAAGCUCAAAUGAGGAAACUGCAACAACACAGCUGAGAGAGGCGGACAUGUAUGAGAACACACAGAGACUCGCAGACCAAACCUACGACACACCGGGCAGGGACAUGAUGAACAUCAGUACUCAGAUCUUCAGGUGAAGGCCACGUAGUGAGUCAAUGGCACACACAAAGGCAUGUCGAACAUCAUCAGGCCAGCAUCAUCGACCUGCGUGUCUGCUGGACCUGCGCGAAGCAAGAGUGUGACACCAACACUAUAGCCCUAUGCUAGUGAUCACAUGACAACGUGUUAAUUCGUGAAAUCAAAGUAACUAAAGUUAUAAUAUAUAAUAUUUGCUGAUCAGAGAUCCUGAGGUUGAUAUGGAAACGGGAAAAGGAUGAGCAAAGACUUAGGAUGCCUGUCUGUGUGUGUGUGUGUGUGUUAUUUAUGACACAGUGUUGUCUUAUUAACUAACGAUUGUUGACGGGGAGGAUGAAGCUGAAGAAGGAGAUACUAUUACAUUCCUUUUUGUUGUCAUACACCAUACUCACACUAUGAAACGUGUGCAAAAUAAAUAAAUAACAUAAGCGACGGUUAACAUCAUUCGCAACACAUGACGCAAACAUGUAGAAAAAUGUAUAGUUUUGAGUUAGUCUUUAAUAUGAUGUUUAAUGUUAGUUUUAAGGGUCUAAUAAAAAGUAGAAAAAAUCUUAGAAGAUGCCUAUUAUAUAUUGAUGAUUUAAUUUGUUAAAAAAAGCAUUGAAAUAUUUAUCCAUCUAUUUUUGACAUGUCUACCUAAAUAUGACUCCGUGUACAUUACAUACCAUUGCCUGGUCUAACAAACAA
rnacentral:misc_RNA from 1 species